AACGUAGGAGACAAACGUUAUCCGGAGUUACUGGGCGUAAAGGGCGUGUAGGUGGUAAUGUAAGUCUGGCGUGAAAUUUUUCGGCUUAACCGGGAAAGGUCGUCGGAUACUGCAUGACUAGAGGACGGUAGAGGCGUGUGGAAUUCCGGGUGGAGCGGUGAAAUGCGUAGAGAUCCGGAGGAACACCGACGGCGCAGGCAGCGUCCUGGCCGCUUGCUGACACUGAGGCACGAAAGCUGGGGAAGCAAACAGG
rnacentral:rRNA from 1 species